AACGAACGCUGGCGGCAUGCCUAACACAUGCAAGUCGAACGAGACCUUCGGGUCUAGUGGCGCACGGGUGCGUAACGCGUGGGAACCUGCCCUUAGGUUCGGAAUAACUCCCCGAAAGGGGUGCUAAUACCGGAUAAUUUCUUCUGACCAAAGAUUUAUCGCCUUUGGAUGGGCCCGCGUUGGAUUAGCUAGUUGGUAGUGUAAAAGCCUACCAAGGCGACGAUCCAUAGCUGGUCUGAGAGGAUGAUCCGCCACACUGGGACUGAGACACGGCCCAGACUACUACGGGAGGCAGCAGUGGGGAAUAUUGGAAAAUGGGCGAAAGCCUGAUCCAGCACUGCCGCGUGAGUGAUGAAGGCCUUAGGGUUGUAAAGCUCUUUUACCCGGGAUGAUAAUGACAGUACCGGGAGAAUAAGCUCCGGCUAACUCCGUG
rnacentral:rRNA from 1 species